rnacentral:rRNA from 1 species
UACGUAGGGUGCGAGCGUUGUCCGGAUUUAUUGGGCGUAAAGGGCGCGUAGGCGGCUACGCACGUCCGUUGUGAAAUCGCUCGGCUCAACUGGGCGGGGUCAGCGGAUACGGCGUAGCUGGAGCAAGCUAGGGGGCAAUGGAAUUCCCGGUGUAGUGGUGGAAUGCGUAGAUAUCGGGAGGAACACCAGUGGCGAAGGCGGUUGCCUGGAGCUUUGCUGACGCUGAUGCGCGAAAGCGUGGGGAGCGAGUCCGG